ensembl:lncRNA novel transcript
UUUGUACCAUUUUGGUUUCCAGAUACCUUUUGUGAGCAGUAUAUAGUUAAAUUUGCUUAUUGAACAAAUUGCCUUUCCCUUUAACAAAGGAAGUUAAAUUAGUCAUAUUCAGGUUAUUGCUAAAGUUUGUUUUUCUGACUUCUUAAUAGAGUGCUUUUGUUUUGUAUCGUAAACAUUUAUACUGUUUUCCUUGUGGUCUGUCAUUUGCUACAUCAUCGACAUUUCCUUUGUUUUUAUGUUCCAGUGGGUAUUUAAAAUUCUGUGAGUGUUAUCUUUAAGUUUUUGAAGUCAAAUUAAACAAAUUUUUUUUAGAACUUACAGCAGGGAAAAAAUAUGACUUUUUACUUUAUAAGAUAUAGAUUUGAAUUUUUACUAUUUUCUCCUCAUAUAUGAUUAUCAAUUUUUGUACAUUUAAUCAAAAAUUAUAAAUUUUCACAAAUAUUGUAAAAUGCUUUUUUAUGAUAUUUGCACUCAUUUUAAAUUAUAGUUAUAGUACUUACACAGUCUUAUCUUCUUUACUGAAAUGUCUCCAAUAUUUACUGCUACUUUUUUUAAUGCUAUGAGUGUUUUGCUUUUAAGUGUAUCCAGAAUAUAUUCUUAAGAAUUUUUCCAGGACAUCAGCAAGAUGAUGAAAAGGGAGUUUUCUACUGUCAUUCCCCAAAAGAAGCAUCAAUUUUACAACUACUCAUGGACAAGAGUAUCCUUGUAGGAAUCUAAGAGUUUAGCAAAGAAGUUUCAGCACAUUCUCAGAGCAAAAAGUUUGAGUAUGCAUACGGAGAAGAGAAGAGAAUAAGAACAGUUGCACUUUACCUGCACUUUUUCUCCCCCAAGGUGUCACAGCUCAGUGCCAAGAGAGACCUCCUUAGCCCGUUUCUCCCAUAAAGGAAAGUGAGAGUAUAGUAAAUAAACUGUCAGUUCCCUGGCUGUGUGAGAUGCUGCCCAAUAGCCCCACCUCUUUUUUGUCUUACCCAAAUUACUGAGGUGAUCGGCACAGGUGAGAGAUUGGGAGAGGGUAGAACCAGAGAAGAGAGGCCGUGGACUCUCAUAAUUGCUCCAGUGGAUUCCAUGAGGAAGUUUGUCCAUGAGGCACUCGAGAUGUCUCACCUGCGGACACCACCAAUGGCCCAAGGCCACUGCAAAUGCAUUUCAUGCUUCUCCCACCGCCUGGAUGAAAGAAGGAUAGAAAAAAGGCACACAAACUGGAGCAUCUCAAAGCACUGCUCUAAUAGGCUGUACAGGAAGCAUGGCACCAACAUCUGCCCAGCUCCUAGGGAGGCCUCGGGGAGCUUUUACUCAUGGUGGAGGGUGAAGCAGGAGCAAGUACAUCAUACGGCGAAAGCAAGAGCAAAUGAAGUUUCGCUCUUCUUGCCCAGGCUGGAGUGCAAUGGCACAAUCUCAGCUCACUGCAACCUCUGCCUCCUGGGUUCAAGCGAUUCUCCUGCCUCAGCCCCCUGAGUAGCUGGGAUUACAGGACAGUUUCUGCGAUGGUAAACUGAACUGAUCCCCGCAAACUCUGCUUCAGAUGAUCUACAACAACCUGGAGAUUAUCUACCACAAUCAAGGCUAUGCCAGUCACUCAUCCCCUACCAACCUAAGAACAGUAGUUACUGUGAAGAGUAAGAUGGUAAAGUCAUAAACCCAGCUUAUCAUAAUUCCUAAGCUAGUCCAUUUGUGUACAGCAAAGCCCUGUUAAGCUCUAUCACUUUUUUUUUUCAGGCCACUUGUUUUUACUCAACAAAUUACUUUGUCAGUGAUAGCAGCUUUUUUAAAACUUUAUAAUUAAAAGGCUGUUUUAAACAUAAGAGAUCAAAGCAUUUUGUUUAACAG